GUUUAGUAUAGACCGGAUAGCUCAAAUGGUAGAGUAGCCGACAUGUCUUCGGAAGGUUCUGGGUUCGAAUCCCAGUCCGAACU
rnacentral:tRNA from 1 species